UAAAUACUCCCUCCGUCCAAUUUUUUUUGUGUUUGUAUAAAAAUGAAUGUAUCUAAUCAUAUUUUAGUAUUUUGAUACAUUUGUUUUUGGACAAACCUAAAAUAAGAAUUUUGAAACGGAGGGAGUAAAUA
rnacentral:pre_miRNA from 1 species